UACUUUAACUUUACUUUUAUUUAACUGCGGCGGUUCUUUUUCUGAGAACAACCAUAACAAACUUCUCAAAUCGAAGUUUUUUUACCUCAGAUUUGUCGUCGGUUUGAAAGCGGACUCGUCGAGCUGUUAAUCUGCAGAACGGGUCGAGCACGAUGGGCCCGUGAAUUAAAAAAAAAAAAAAAAAAAAAAGCCCACAGCCACCACCGUUAUAUAUCCAAUGUGAAUAAGAGUAAACAGUGUGUUAUUUUGUGCUGAUAUUAGAUAGGUCAGCGGCUGCUGUCUGGCUCUUGUGUAACGGUCGGUGCGCGCGCUCUCGUGUGUGUGUGUGUGUGUGUGUGUGUGUGUGUGUGUGUGUGUGUGUGUGUGUGUGUGUGAAUCAUAGUUCACCUUAGUUGAACUUGUGUGAUCUAGUUCACGGUAGUGUGAGGCUGUUGGUCCGAUCCGGUGGCUGUUGGGAGGAUGAACAUCUCUUCUUGAUCAUUAGAAAAAAACAAACUAACGUUACCCUUAAAAGACGCAGUGUGUCGUCAUGUUUUUUGUGUAGAUGAGAAGGCUUUGAUAGUUUGCUCGCAGACAGACUGUAUUAACGGUUGUGUCGUCAUGUUUUUUGUGUAACGUUAGAUGAGAAGGUUUUGAUGGUUUGCUCGCAGACAGACUGUAUUAACGGCCGUGUGUUAAUCUCGUUAAAGUGUCCGCACGACAGAAAAUUUCAGUCUGAACUUGAAUAAUAAAAACGGUCGUCGUGGUUUAACUUACCCAACGACUCCCGUCAAGUUUCUUUUGUUUGUUUUGCCGUUGGCCGUUUCUAACAACAGCUAAAGGAGCACGAAUGAGCCAGAUGAAGCUACGAACCGGAUGAAACGUAAAUAAUUGGGGCUUGAAAUGGCGAAAAUAUUUCGGACUCAACCCAGAGAUGGAACGUACGUCCACCUUUUAUCUGGUUCGGGGACUUUGGAUGACACUGACAGACAUGUGUGUGACAUGUGUGCAGGACCACGCAGACCUUUACUGUACUGUUGCACAGCUGCCCCACCCUUACGAAAUUAUGCAGUCGUAUCCCGAUGGAUCCGAAACGCUGACGCUAAUCCUUACUGAUUUCAUCUGGAAUUAUUGAGCUCUUAUUGGAC
rnacentral:lncRNA from 1 species